AUGAAGAGGCAUGCUAUUCCCAUUAUGUAGUAUGCGCAAAAAGAAGUAUUAAGAAGCCCACAUAUGUAAUUCAAUUAUCAAUAAUUCUCGAGAGGGUGAACAAUAAAGUUGGACCAAGCGUUUUAAAUAUUCUGCAUUGCGUGACCCUCGUUUUAUGUUUUCAACAAGUUUUCUGCCCUGAACAUCAUGAAAAACGUUUUGGGAUAUAAGAUUUCAGAUAAGUUAUUAAUAAUCCUUACACUGCAGAAUGUAAUCAUCGUAAGUGGAAGUAUUUUUCCUGCAGUGAUGCGAAGAGGUUGGCUAGUUCGCAUCGUUAAUAAAAUAAGGAGUC
rnacentral:lncRNA from 1 species